ensembl:lncRNA
UUUUGCUUUAAUUCUAUUGUGCAGUUAUUUGUUACCCUGAAAUGCUUUAUGCUUAACAACAGCUCACCAUUUUAACUUAUUUUUGAACUCUUGUGAUCAGUAUGACUAGAUUGUGUGAGUUUCCAUACUAAAAGAGCUGUAGUGAUAAAAUAAUUGGCAUCAGAGACACUGAUUUUGGCAUGGUAUACUGCAGAAGUUUUUUUUUUUUUUUUUUGUGCAUAAUCUACCUUUUAAUUAAACUGCAUUCUCUGUAUUGUAACAAAACUAACAUUGUUUAUAUGUCAGAAAAUUAGCAAACAUGAAUAAAUGGCGAAAACAAUAUAAUUAUAACAUAUAUUUUUAUUUUACUUAUUUUAGGUCUGUGAUGCCAAACUUGAUGCUGGGGAUUUAUUUUUGUCAGUGGAGUCAAAUGGUUGAAGCAGAAUUUGCCUGUCUUACAUCUGUUGACCUGAAAGGGUUCCUUUUGCUGUGCUUGACCAUUAUGGAGAGGUUCGUGGAGCUGUUCAAAAUCAAGAGCGGCAUAGGAGGGCUAACUAGGCUCAUAAGAUGCUUCGGUGAUGAUAGCCCUACACAAAGGAAGAGGACAGAGGACCUCAUUUUCUAAAGGAAGAUCCCUCACACACUUUCAAGACUGUGAAGGUUAGCAUUGUUUCUUUUAGUAAAUUUAAUAAUGACAGCACCACAGUGGAUUUUAAAUUAAACAUGUGGCAUCUAUGAAACAAUAGAUGCCACAUGAUAACAUGUGUACUUUUU